rnacentral:rRNA from 1 species
ACUCAAAGGAAUUGACGGGGACCCGCACAAGCAGCGGAGCGUGUGGUUUAAUUCGAGGCUACGCGAAGAACCUUACCAGGGUUUGACAUGCAGGUAGUAGGGAAGUGAAAGCGGACCGACCCUUCGGGGAGCCUGCACAGGUGAUGCAUGGCUGUCGUCAGCUCGUGCCGUGAGGUGUUUGGUUAAGUCCACUAACGAGCGCAACCCUUAGGGCCAGUUACACGUGUCUGGCCCGACUGCCGGUAUCAAGCCGGAGGAAGGUGGGGAUGACGUCAAGUCAGCAUGUCCUUUAUAUCCUGGGCGACACACACGCUACAAUGGCCGGUACAGAGGGUCGCGAAGCCGCGAGGCGGAGCCAAUCCUACAAAGCUGGUCUCAGUUCGGAUUGGAGGCUGCAACUCGCCUCCAUGAAGUCGGAGUUGCUAGUAACCGCCGGACAGCGAUACGGCGGUGAAUACGUUCCCGGGUCUUGUACACACCGCCCGU